rnacentral:rRNA from 1 species
ACGGGGCCCGCACAAGCGGUGGAGCAUGUGGUUUAAUUCGACGCAACGCGAAGACCUUACCUGGGCUUGACAUCCCGAUCGCACCUUAUGGAAACAUAGGGGUCAGUUUGGCUGGAUCGGUGACAGGUGCUGCAUGGCUGUCGUCAGCUCGUGUCGUGAGAUGUUGGGUUAAGUCCCGCAACGAGCGCAACCCUUGUCCUUAGUUGCCAGCAUUCAGUUGGGCACUCUAAGGAGACUGCCGGUGUCAAACCAGAGGAAGGUGGGGAUGACGUCAAGUCCUCAUGGCCCUUAUGUCCAGGGCUACACACGUGCUACAAUGGCCGGUACAAAGGGGCGCAAGACCGCGAGGUGGAGCAAAUCCCAAAAAACCGGUCUCAGUUCGGAUUGGAGUCUGCAACUCGACUCCAUGAAGUUGGAAUCGCUAGUAAUCGCGUAUCAGCAUGACGCGGUGAAUACGUUCCCGGGCCUU